rnacentral:rRNA from 1 species
AUUGAACGCUGGCGGCAGGCCUAACACAUGCAAGUCGAACGAGUGGCGGACGGGUGAGUAAUGUCUGGGGAUCUGCCUGAUGGAGGGGGCUAACUACUGGAAACGGUAGCUAAUACCGCAUACCAUCAGCUGACCCCAGAUGGGAUUAGCUUGUAGGUGAGGUAACGGCUCACCAAGGCGACGAUCCCUAGCUGGUCUGAGAGGAUGAUCAGCAACACUGGAACUGAGACACGGUCCAGACUCCUACGGGAGGCAGCAGUGGGGAAUAUUGCACAAUGGGCGCAAGCCUGAUGCAGCGAGGCCGCGGGUAUGAAGAAGGCCUUCGGGUUGUAAAGUACUUUCAGUCGGGAGGCGUUACCCACAGAAGUAGCACCGGCUAACUCCGUGCCAGCAGCCGCGGUAAUUC